rnacentral:lncRNA from 1 species
AGGGAGUCACAACUGCCUGAGUGCAGUUCAACUUGGAACUCUCACUUGGAGUGGAACCUCCUGUGAGAGAGAUUUCUACUGGGAACUCUACUGGGAGUUUGUCUUGGAGUGGAGGCUGAUAAAGAAUCUGCUGACUGGACUGGCACAUGUCAGUCAUACUGGUCUAUUUGCAAUUCAUGAAGUGGAUACUGUCACCCACAAAGGACCUGAACCUGAAUCUUGGAAGCACAAGGACAAGGGGAUCCACAAUGUUCUAGAAAGUAUAUAGUAAAAUAAAAAGAAAAAAAAAGAAAUGCCUCCA